UACGUAGGGUCCGAGCGUUGUCCGGAAUUAUUGGGCGUAAAGCGCACGCAGGCGGUCUCUUAAGUUUCGAGUGACAGGUCAGGGAUUAACCCUGGCAGGCCUUGGAAAACUGGGGGACUUGAGGGAUUCAGAGGGACGCGGAAUUCCAGGUGGAGCGGUGAAAUGCGUAGAGAUCUGGAAGAACACCGAAGGCGAAGGCAGCGUCCUGGGAAGUCACUGACGCUCAUGUGCGAAAGCCAGGGGAGCGAACGGG
rnacentral:rRNA from 1 species